CAAUAGCGUAUAUUAAAGUUGUUGCAGUUAAAAAGCUCGUAGUUGAAUUUCUGGGCUGGCCGGGAGGCGGCCUUCGGUCGACCUCCCCGCGAGUUCAUCCUCGCCCCUCGGGGCGUCAUUUACUGUGAAAAAAUUAGAGUGCUUAAAGCAGGCUUCUGGCUUGAAUACAUUAGCAUGGAAUAAUGAGAUAGGACCGAGUCGUAUUUUGUUGGUUGCGCGAACCGGUAAUGAUUAAUAGGGACAGUUGGGGGUAUUCAUAUUUAAUUGUCAGAGGUGAAAUUCUUAGAUUUGUUAAAGAUGAACUACUGCGAAAGCAUUUACCAAGGAUGUUUNCAUUA
rnacentral:rRNA from 1 species